CCUGGAUGAGGGUGAAGUGGAUCUGCAGAGCCACGUCCCUGUCGUCGUCCUCGUCCGCGGCCAGCAGGCACAGUACCACGUUGUCGGGGUCGCUAGGGGCAGGAGGCAGCGAUCAGACAAAUAAGGUUAGUACAGCAGAGAGAAUGCAGGGAGCUUCCUGAGAACAGCUUGGCACUGGAGACAUCUCACUGAAAGGUAUGAGCAUCAGUUCAAUCUCGUGGGGAACUCUGGUGACUCCCAGAGGCUAUUUGGAUGGAAGACAAUACUAAGUAAGUAGGUUCUUCACCCAUUCGUGAAAGUUAUAGAGAAGGAGAUCUGCACAGCUGCUUCCUUUCUUGCAUUUUAUGCCUUCCCUAGGUUGGGCUCCCCUAAUGAAAAUGAUAGGAUGGUGCUCAAUAACUAGAAAAAAAACUGCAACAUUUUUUCUAACUUGUCUAACAGAACAAAGCAAAAAUGGUGUUGUUUUUUCUUGAACUUCAUGACCUCUGCCCGCCCUGGCCCAUGCUUCUUUCCUUGUGGCCACUUUGUGCACCUCAAGUACUAACUCUGCAAGCCACCUUCUUAGUCAUUCCUCAGGACUACGUUUCUUGGACAUCCCUGGUACAAAGACAAAGUUCCAGGCUGGAGCCUCUCUGGUCCUUACAAUCACCACUGCUACUGAGCCAGCCUGGAUGUCUUCUCUUAGCUGCCAGUCUUCUCCUGGCAGGACCACCAGAAGACUCUGCAAAGUAAUCUAAUCAGAUUACAUCACUGCUGAGAAACCUGCUGCGCCUUCUUGUUAGUUGUUGGACAGACUCCGGCCUCCUUUCAUGAUCUGGCCUCUACGGACCUUGCCAGGAUCAUUUCCUGCCUCGUAAAGUCCUGCUCAGACAUGUUAGAGACUCUCCCACAGACUGUCCACUUCAGAAAACCACUGCUUUCCUGAGGCCUUGAGCAUCCAAAUGAAUAGUGUCGCACACUUGCAAAUGUGCUGACAGCCAGAUAUUUUUGACUUCAACUCCAUGCCUGCUUGGUGCUAGAUGCCACGGGGGUUGCCAAGCAGCCCAACCCAAGGACCUCCUUCGGAUAGCUGCAGUCAUCACAGAAGUCAGGACUCUGCUCCAGAAGGCACUGCACAGGAGCACCGGCUCCCACAGCUACUCUCCAGCUAAGACUCCAGAAUCAUAACUUCAAGAUCUAUCUGAGUUCCAAAUUCACCUGCAUCCCUCAGCUGACUGCACUGGUGACAGAUGACCGUGAGGACCAUAGCAACAGUCUCUCAAUAAGGGCAGUUGUCCUCCUCAUGCAUCAUGGAUCCAGGAAGCAUCACCAUCUCUAUCUGAGGCGGCUUUGGUGGAAGAGGAGAAAGACAAUGGAGAACGUCCUACAGGUUUGUCAAUAGUGCAGCAUGAAAUGACCCACAACACCGUCUCUCAGGACACAUCGUGGCCUCACCCAAUGACAAAGAGACUAAUAAAUCUGAGGUAGCCUGUAGACCAUUUGGACAUUGUUGUUUAUUGAGAAACUGCUGUCGUCCAUAGCCACCUGUCCAGAAAGAUACUGUUGUGCUACACAAGGGACUUCUAGUCCAUUGGUCUUUGCCAGGCUUGUUGGGUAUCUCUGCAUUGUGAACCACACACAAUGACCACAGUCCGUUUCUUAUCCUCUUCAUCCUGUCUUUCUUCUUCUUCUCACCGUCCCCAUUCAUCAUCAUCAUCAUCAUAAUUAUCAUCAUCAUCUUAUCUGUUCUACAACUGCAACAAUCUCUAGCUCACAGCUUUUGAUCUUAUUAAUUGGGGAGCCAAUUAAAAUUUAUUAAACAGACCUCCAAAGCAGUGUUUCCUAGGAACUAUUCUGAGAACAUUUAUUCUUUGAUAUAUUAAUAGGAAUUCUGAGAAAGAAAGCUUUAUUGUCAAGUAAAUAAAUCCUGGCACCUAACACGGAUUUUUACCACAGUAUAUUUUAAAGAGAUAUGCUGUUGCAAGGGCUUUCAAAGGGUGCAUCUGGAAGAAGGGUGCUAAGAGUUAAGUUAAUGUCCCCAAGUCCCAUAAGUACUCUAGACAGAUAAUAACGUGUUUGAUGACUCCUCCUGAUGGACCUUUUGUCCUUUAUCCAUGUCCUGUCUCCAUCCUUACAAAAGAAAAACAUAUGCUGAUGCUGGUCCUCUGCUCACAGUGCAGAAGCCCCUGUCUGACAAAGGGACUGUUGCAAACACCAUCACUGAACCGAAGUCGAGUGACAGGGAAGAAAGGCAGUUUCAGACUCUUGACUUUUAAUGGAACUGAAGGACAUCCUAAUGGAACCAUCACUGGAUAGACCAUUAAAAUAUUUUCAUGACAAAUGA